CACGGUCUUCCCAUUCAAAAUAUUUUCUUUAUUUCAUCAAGUAAACAAAACAAAAAUGAUUUGUUUACUUGAUGAAAUAAAGAAAAUAUUUUGAAUGGGAAGACCGUG